rnacentral:lncRNA from 1 species
CCCCCCUUACAAAAACAUUCGUCCCCGAAUGUUAAAACAACAAACACAAGCAUGCAAGCAAGCAAGCGAAUCCUAAAGCUUCUCUCCAAAGAGAGACACCAAACGCUGGAGUAAGAACUCCCAGGUUCCUAAACUCCACAAGCUUCUGCUGCGCUACUCUGAUGCUUCUCUAUCUUCCUCCUUCUCUGCUCUUACUCUUCUCUUCUCAUCUUUACUAACUGGCUUCUUCUCACUACUAACCCAAAACUAACUCUAACUCUCACAGGUAGUACCCGAAUUUCAGAUCUAUCUUGGAAAAACAAACAGCUCCUACUAGCUGUCCCAAUAGAUCAUCCAUCCUACAUGGGAAUACCUGCCCUUGGUAGUGACCUUGUUUAACCGCUUACAGUCGUUACAAAGUCUCAAGGAUUCAUCCUUCAUUUCCCACAACCAUACUGGAGCAAUCCAGAGUGAGGUACUAGGUCGGACAAAACCCCUUGUCUACCAAGUCUCGCCUCUACUCAACUGCUACCUCUCUCUAUGCAGGCGCCAUCCUAUAGGGAAGGGUAGAAAUGGUUCUGCGUCCAGACACCACUCCUAUACCAAACUCUAACUCCCUGACAGAUGGUAAACCUGACAACUCGCCUGGGAAGACAUCUAAGAAUUCUCUCUAACAACUGGCACUGAGGCUGGUUCCC